GGCGGACGUAGCCAAGUGGAUCAAGGCAGUGGAUUGUGGAUACUCUACGCGCGGGUCG
rnacentral:tRNA from 1 species